rnacentral:lncRNA from 10 species
CAAUUGUGCAGCUGACUUGCUGAUACCUUGGAGGAGUCACGAAGUUCAGUGUGCCCAGUUGGGGCAUCUUCCAGGCUGUGGCUCCAUCACCCUGCAGUUUUGGCUCAGAACAGCCACCACAUCCUCACUGCUCUCCUGGGAUGAGAAGGGCCUAGGAUAAGCAGGUGCCAGUAAGCCUUUGUUGGAAGAAAGGAAGGAGAGAAAAUGGACCUCCUCUGGAUGGGAUCCUUGGCUCCUGCGUGCUGAUGUGCAGCCUGUGACCCGGGCUCUGCACUGCUCCUCUGGCUCCAGGCAAUCAUCAUGGAAAGGGCGGCCUCCCCAGAGGGCUGCCUGGGAAUGAACUGGGCAUCUGGGGAAGCCCAUUCCUUUGGCUGCCUCUUGCCUGUGGCGCCCAGGGCUGCCGUGCCACCUCCUUUGUGAAGCUGGUCCCCAGCCCUGCUUAUCAGCCCCAUGUCCCAUUCCCUUGGGCCCAGCAGAGGUAAAAGUGGCUAAGUGGCUUAACUGGGCCAGGUGCAGUGGCUCACGCCGGUAAUCCCAGCACUUUGGGAGGCCAAGGCGGGUGGAUCACCUGAGGUCGGGAGUUCGAGACCAGCCUGACCAACAUGGAGAAACCCCGUCUCUACUAAAAAUACAAAAUUAGCCAGGCGUGGUGGUGCAUUCCUGUAAUCCCAGCUACUUGGGAGGCUGAGGCAGGAGGAUCACUUGAACCACGGAGGCGGCGGUUGCAGUGAGCUGUCAUUGCACUCCAGCCUGGACAAGGAGAGCGAAACUCCGUCUU